rnacentral:rRNA from 1 species
GAUGAACGCUGGCGGCGUGCCUAAUACAUGCAAGUCGAGCGAACGGACGAGAAGCUUGCUUCUCUGAUGUUAGCGGCGGACGGGUGAGUAACACGUGGAUAACCUACCUAUAAGACUGGGAUAACUUCGGGAAACCGGAGCUAAUACCGGAUAAUAUUUUGAACCGCAUGGUUCAAAAGUAAAAGACGGUCUUGCUGUCACUUAUAGAUGGAUCCGCGCUGCAUUAGCUAGUUGGUAAGGUAACGGCUUACCAAGGCAACGAUGCAUAGCCGACCUGAGAGGGUGAUCGGCCACCCUGGAACUGAGACACGGUGCAGACUCCGACGGGAGGCAGCAGUAGGGAAUCUUACGCGAUGGGCGAAAGCCUGACAGAGCAACACCGAGUGAGUGAUGAAGGUCUUAGGAUGGUAAAACUCUGUUAUUAGGGAAGAACAUAUGUGUAAGUAACUGUGAACAUCUUGACGGUACCUAAUCAGAAAGCCACGGCUAACUACGUG